GGGGAUGACAGGCUUCGAUAGUCGGAGUCGUUAUCUAAAUGGGCAUAUCGAGCGCUUACCUCGCUAAACUAAGCAAAACUUUACGUGUAAACGUAUUAAGCCGUGCUAAGAACGCACUUGCUCGCGCAUUUGCUGUUCCUACAUUGGCUUCCGUUGUCGCUUAAAUUCGACAGCCAUCACUCCCUUGAUACUCAAUAAAGGGACAGUGGUGUAAACCAUUGAGCGUAAAAAUAUGCCCUUAUCCGCGAGCAUAUUUUGAAAUUCUUGCGGACAAUCUUAUAGAAUCAAUUUUGCUGUUUUGUAUCUAUAAGCUACCCCCGACUUAGUCGGGGCUAAACCAGCUAAAUAUGUAGUACAUUUAGCUAACCCGAUAUAGACCCGGGUUCAAUUCCCGGCAUCUCCACCA
rnacentral:tmRNA from 5 species